UACGUAGGGCGCAAGCGUUACUCGGAAUUACUGGGCGUAAAGCGUGCGUAGGUGGUUUGUUAAGUCUGUUGUGAAAGCCCCGGGCUCAACCUGGGAAUGGCAAUGGAUACUGGCAAGCUAGAGUGCGGUAGAGGGUAGUGGAAUUCCCGGUGUAGCGGUGAAAUGCGUAGAGAUCGGGAGGAACACCAGUGGCGAAGGCGGCUCUCUGGACUGUAACUGACACUGAGGCACGAAAGCGUGGGGAGCAAACAGG
rnacentral:rRNA from 1 species